rnacentral:rRNA from 1 species
UACGUAGGGUGCAAGCGUUAAUCGGAAUUACUGGGCGUAAAGCGUGCGCAGGCGGUUGUGCAAGACAGAGGUGAAAUCCCCGAGCUUAACUUGGGAACUGCCUUUGUGACUGCACGGCUAGAGUGUGUCAGAGGGGGGUAGAAUUCCACGUGUAGCAGUGAAAUGCGUAGAGAUGUGGAGGAAUACCGAUGGCGAAGGCAGCCCCCUGGGAUAACACUGACGCUCAUGCACGAAAGCGUGGGGAGCAAACAGG